rnacentral:rRNA from 2 species
GGGUUGUGAGGUUAAGCGACUAAGCGUACACGGUGGAUGCCCUGGCAGUCAGAGGCGAUGAAGGACGUGCUAAUCUGCGAUAAGCGCCGGUAAGGUGAUAUGAACCGUUAUAACCGGCGAUUUCCGAAUGGGGAAACCCAGUGUGAUUCGUCACACUAUCAUUAACUGAAUCCAUAGGUUAAUGAGGCGAACCGGGGGAACUGAAACAUCUAAGUACCCCGAGGAAAAGAAAUC